UACGAAGGGGGCUAGCGUUGCUCGGAAUCACUGGGCGUAAAGGGCGCGUAGGCGGCCAUUCAAGUCGGGGGUGAAAGCCCAGGGCUCAACCCUGGAAUUGCCUUCGAUACUGUUUGGCUAGAGACCGGAAGAGGUAAGUGGAACUGCGAGUGUAGAGGUGAAAUUCGUAGAUAUUCGGAAGAACACCAGUGGCGAAGGCGACUAACUGGACAAGUACUGACGCUGAGGUACGAAAGCGUGGGGAGCAAACAGG
rnacentral:rRNA from 1 species